CAUCGCCUCUUGUAAACAUAAGAGGUCCAGCCUGCCCAGUGAUUCAUUCAACGGCCGCGGUAUCCUAACCGUGCAAAGGUAGCGUAAUCACUUGUUUUCCAAAUAAAGACCAGUAUGAAAGGCAUCACGAGAACUAAACUGUCUCCUUUCUCUAAUCAGUGAACCUAAUCUCCCCGUGAAGAAGCGGGGAUCCUACUAUAAGACGAGAAGACCCUGUGGAGCUUAAAACAUUACAACAAUGCCCCCCUCCCCUCCAACCACCCUGAUGGCCCUUCCCCACCGGCACCCUGAUUAUAUGUUUUUGGUUGGGGUGACCGCGGAGAAAAACCUAUCCUCCGUAAUGAAAGGGAUUUCCCCCCUAAGCAACAAGCUACAACUUUACACAUCAAAAAAUUGACAUCUUUGACCCAAUAAAUUGAUUGACGAACCAAGUU
rnacentral:rRNA from 1 species